AAGGCGCUGGAGCUCCUGACGGGAUUUUGCCGCUUUUUUCUCUUUUAGCAGCAGAAAAUCAAUUUAACACUUUAAAUUUUAUUAAAAUAUAGCAAGGGAUGGAUUAAACUUAAGAGAAACCUUUAAUCCUGUGGCAUGAGCGAGGCAGAGAGCCAGCGAGGUGCAGAUGUUCCUCUCCAGGCUCUCUGACAAGGAUCUGGCCAUGGCACCGCUGGCUACACACGAGCAAUAUCACUCCCUGCCCUGUGAGUCCUUAAUUAGGGCCUUAACGAAGCCCUGCCUUAAUUAGGGUCCCAACACCUUCCUAACCAAGUAUGAUCUUAAUGGUGCCCCCAAUAAUUAAUUCGGGAUCCCUAACGAAGCCCCUGUAAUGAACUGGGGGGGGUUAAUGAAACAGGGGGGUCUCAAGAUGAUCUUGCUAAUGAAGAGGGGGUGCUAAUUAAGCAAUGCCUUCACUAAUGAACUAGGAAACCCUAAUUAAACCCAAGGUGGUCAAACCCUCAGAGUCCUCCUCCAAUUCCUGUUCCCAAAUUGCUGCGGAUUUACCCAAAAUCCCCAAAUCCCAAAAUCCCUCAAUCCCAUGACCCAAAAUCCCCAAAUCCCGUUACCCAAAAUCCCUGAUUCCCACCCAAAACCAGCCCUGGGAUAACCCUGAAAGCCCAGGCAGGGCCAGGGCAAAGAAAUCCUCAAAUGUGGGGAUUUUACAGCAACUUUGGACCCAAUUUCCCUUUUCUUUUGGGUGGAAAUUUGCCCUUUUUGGUUUGACCCCAAAUUGGGCCCUUUUUUCCUGUUUUUUUUAAACCUAAAUUUGGCCCCUUUUUGCUUUUGGCCCAGAAUUUGUUUGGUUUUUUUUUUUUUUUCCUUUAAAUUUGGCCCCUUUUGGGUUUUGUCCUAAAAUUGCCUUUUUUGUGC